GACGAACCGUGCGAACGUUGUUCGGAAUCACUGGGCUUAAAGGGCGCGUAGGCGGGCUGCCAAGUCCGUAGGUGAAAUCCCCCGGCUCAACCGGGGAACGGCCUCGGAUACUGGCGGCCUCGAGGGGGGUAGGGGCGUGCGGAACUGUGGGUGGAGCGGUGAAAUGCGUUGAGAUCCACAGGAACUCCGGUGGCGAAGGCGGCACGCUGGACCCUUUCUGACGCUGAGGCGCGAAAGCGUGGGGAGCGAACAGG
rnacentral:rRNA from 1 species